rnacentral:rRNA from 1 species
UGGGGAAUAUUGCACAAUGGGCGAAAGCCUGAUGCAGCAACGCCGCGUGAGUGAUGAAGGUCUUCGGAUUGUAAAGCUCUGUCUUUUGGGACGAUAAUGACGGUACCAAAGGAGGAAGCCACGGCUAACUACGUGCCAGCAGCCGCGGUAAUACGUAGGUGGCGAGCGUUGUCCGGAUUUACUGGGCGUAAAGGGUGCGUAGGCGGAUGUUUAAGUGAGAUGUGAAAUACCCGGGCUUAACUUGGGUGCUGCAUUUCAAACUGGAUAUCUAGAGUGCAGGAGAGGAGAAUGGAAUUCCUAGUGUAGCGGUGAAAUGCGUAGAGAUUAGGAAGAACACCAGUGGCGAAGGCGAUUCUCUGGACUGUAACUGACGCUGAGGCACGAAAGCGUGGGUAGCAAACAGGAUUAGAUACCCUGGUAGUCCA